AAGAAGGUGGCAGAGUGGUUAUGUGGUCGGCUUGAAACCGGAAUAUGGAGGUUCAAUUCCUCCCCUUCUCG
rnacentral:tRNA from 1 species